GACUCGGUAGCUUAGUUGGAAAAGCACUUGUCUAGCGAAUAAGGAUUGUGAGUUCAAAUCUCAUCUGAGCUG
rnacentral:tRNA from 1 species